UGGACCUGAUAUCAAACA
rnacentral:rRNA from 1 species